AUGAGCUUUGAUUUCUACUUUAUCCAAUCACUACCAACAAAGAUAAAAAAACAAACGAUACCACAAAUCAAAGAAACGGAAAGAGGAAGCAACUCGGCCGCAAACCCGCCGGUCUUAAUCAACAACCUGAAAAAUAACAUUAUAACAAAACACCACAAGCUGAACAGAGCUCUCCACCGGUGCAGCCAGCCCACCUUCAAUCAGCCUUCAUCAACGCCACCACAAGAUCCGAUAAAUCUGAAGUCCGACUGCGAGAACUGCACACGCAACUCAGCCGGUGAAAACGUCAAUGAGAGCCCUCCGUUUCGCACAAGUCAACAACGUCGUCAGAGAUCCACCACCAAAACUUCCACGAUCUGA